UCUCCGUAGGUGAACCUGCGGAGGGAUCAUUACAGAGUUCAUGCCCUCACGGGUAGAUCUCCCACCCUGUGUUAUUAUACUUUGUUGCUUUGGCAGGCCGCCCGCGUGGGCUACCGGCUCCAGCUGAUAAGUGCCUGCCAGAGGACCCCAAACUCUGAAUAUUUUAUUGUCUGAGUACUAUAUAAUAGUUUAAAACUUUCAACAACGGAUCUCUUGGUUCUG
rnacentral:misc_RNA from 1 species